rnacentral:rRNA from 1 species
UACGUAGGGUGCAGGCGUUAAUCGGAAUUACUGGGCGUAAAGCGUGCGCAGGCGGUUUGCUAAGACAGGUGUGAAAUCCCCGGGCUUAACCUGGGAACUGCGCUUGUAACUGGCAAGCUAGAGUGUGGCAGAGGGGGGUGGAAUUCCACGUGUAGCAGUGAAAUGCGUAGAGAUGUGGAGGAACACCGAUGGCGAAGGCAGCCCCCUGGGCUAACACUGACGCUACAUGCACGAAGCGUGGGGAGCAAACAAGGAU